UACAGAGGUCCCAAGCGUUGUUCGGAUUCACUGGGCGUAAAGGGUGCGUAGGUGGCUUGGUAAGUUUGAUGUGAAAUCUCCGGGCUUAACCCGGAAAUGGCAUUGAAUACUAUUGAGCUGGAGGUUUGGAGGGGGGACUGGAAUUCUCGGUGUAGCAGUGAAAUGCGUAGAUAUCGAGAGGAACACCAGUGGCGAAGGCGAGUCCCUGGACAACACCUGACACUGAGGCACGAAAGCUAGGGGAGCAAACAGG
rnacentral:rRNA from 2 species